rnacentral:rRNA from 1 species
GGCGUUCGAUUCUGGCUCAGAUUGAACGCUUUCGGCGGGAUGCUUUACAUACGCAAGUCGAACGGCAGCACGGACUUCGGUCUGGUGGCGAGCGGGCGAACGGGUGAGUAAUGUAUCGGAACGUGCCUAUAGUGGGGAUAACUACGAAAGUUGGUGAAGCAUCUAUCAGCAUAUUGCCCUUCGGGGAAAAAGCGGGGGACCUUCGGGCCUCGCACUAUUAGAGCGGCCGAUAUCGGAUUAGCUAGUUGGUGGGGUAACGGCUCACCAAGGCGACGAUCCGUAGCUGGUUUGAGAGGACGACCAGCCACACUGGGACUGAGACGGCCCAGACUCCUACGGAGGCAGCAGUGGGGAAUUUUGACAAUGGGGAAACCCUGAUCCAGCCAUCCUGCGUGUGCGAUGAAGGCCUUCGGGUUGUAAAGCACUUUUGGCAGGAAAGAAACGGCACGGGAUAUCACCCGUGCAACUGACGGUACCUGCAGAAUAAGCACCGGCUAACUACGUGUGCCAGCAGCCGCGGUAAUACGUAGGGUGCGUUAAUCGGAAUUACUGGGCGUAAAGCGCGCAGGCGGUUCGGAAGAAAGAUGUGAAAUCCCAGAGCUUAACUUUGGAACUGCAUUUUUAACUACCGAGCUAGAGUGUGUCAGAGGGAGGUGGAAUUCCGCGUGUAGCAGUGAAAUGCGUAGAUAUGCGGAGGAACACCGAUGGCGAAGGCAGCCUCCUGGGAUAACACUGACGCUCAUGCACGAAAGCGUGGGAGCAAACAGGAUUAGAUACUCCGGUAGUCCACGCCCUAAACGAUGUCAACUAGCUGCUGGGGCUCUCCCUUUCGGCCUUGGUAAAGCGCAUAACGCGUGAAGUUGACCGCCUGGGGAGUACGGUCGCAAGAUUAAAACCUCGCGAACGACGGGGACCCGCACAAGCGGUGGAUGAUGUGGGGAUUAAAUUUGAUGCAACGCGAAACCUUUACCUACCCUUGACAUGUCUGGAAUCCCGAAGAGAUUUGGGAGUGUCGUAAGAGAACCGGAACACAGGUGCUGUAUGGCUGUCGUCAGCUCGUGUCGUGAGAUGUUGGGUUAAGUCCUGCAACGAGCGCAACCUCCUUGUCAUUAGUUGCUACGAAAGGGCACUCUAAUGAGACUGCCGGUGACAAACCGGAGAAGGUGGGGAUGACGUCAAGUCCUCAUGGCCCUUAUGGGUAGGGCUUCACACGUCAUACAAUGGUCGGGAUAGAGGGUCGCUAACCCGCGAGGGGGAGCCAAUCCCAGAAACCCGAUCGCAGUCCGGAUCGCAGUCUGCAACCUGACUGCGUAGUCGGAAUCGCUAGUAAUCGCGGAUCAGCAUGUCGCGGUGAAUACGUUCCCGGGUCUUGUACACACCGCCCGUCACACCAUGGGAGUGGGUUUUACCAGAAGUAGUUAGCCUAACUGUAAGGAGGGCGAUUACCACGGUAGGAUUCAUGACUGGGAAGUCAACAAGGUAG